UUAUUACUGCUAAGUUUUCAAGGACUAGAGUCAGGGGCAAAUAGCUAGUGGGGACUAACAUGGAUGCUGAGCAUUAACUAGAGGUUCAUUAGUCAUCACACUAGAACACAGUAUCUGACCCUUUGGUCACAUUUCAUGUCAUUCUACCUUACAGAUACAGUACAUCUGUUUUCCAUGUGUAUCCUGCUGUCCUGAUGUACAGACACAGAUUCAAUCCAUCAAAUAUCAUGUUUUGGAUUUUUUUUCCAAACUGAUAAAUCAUCAUCAGGUCGAGUUACAGCCACUUCCAUCAUCAUCUAAGAAGGCUUUUACAUUGUUCCUGAGAGUGUUGGCCCAGAAGUUCCCCCUGACAUAGAGGACUACCAAUCUGGAGGGUCUUGAAGCCAGCCAAACUAGAGGUGUUCUUCAUGUCCUGUUGUGCUGCCUGUGCCCUGGACUACUUGCUGCCUGACCCUACCUGCACUUAGGUUGAAAGUGAGGUGGCUCAGAAGCAACAACACAGACUCUGCAAGCAGGUGAGAAAUGCUGCAGCAAGCUCAUCUGAAUGCUGCAGCAAGCUCCAUUAAUACACUUACACAGUGUUCCACUGGUCCCAAGAAAGCAUCUCUUCUAAACUGCAAUUCCAGGUGGACUGAUAUUGUCUGGGCCAGCAAUCCUUGGUCUCUCAGGCAGUCCUCAAUUAGGUCCUUCUAUAGGAGAUUCUUUACAGCUGCACGCCCCCUGGCCUUUAUAUACAGUUGGCCCUCCAGUUCCUGCUACAUUGGAAAUCCUUUUGUUUUUUGAUUUUGGCAAUCUAGUUCCAGCCAGGGUGCUGCCAUUGCCUCAAGAUUGUUGACCCCACCCUGGAUGAUCCCCACUAUACUGGACUGUGCUGUCAGUUGUCCUGUCUUCCAGGAUCUUACCUGUCAUUGACUACCAGUCCUCAAAGAGAUAUCACUCUGGAAGCAUGUCAUACAAGAGGAUUAGGAACAGCUUACAUGGUGGUCUCAUGGAUCUCUGCCAUCCAAGCUUUGAUCACUUCCUUGGGAGGGGGUAUAAUAAGGACUUUUGAGAGCCAUCAGCACCUGGAAGGUCAUCCCAUUUAUGAAGUGCUGCCUAGAGUUAUGUUGUGCAAGACACUUCAAGAAAAUAAUUAUUAGGGUGACAAUUCCUCCCAUCAUAUCUUAAGAGGUUUCCCGGUUAUAAGGAGCAAAAUAGCCUCUUAAUAUUGCUCCACACUUUCCCCAAGAAUACCACAACUAGGGAAAGCACAGAUACCCUAGUUGCAUUGAGGUUGACUAUAUGCUCCCUUAAGGGUACAGAAUCAUUAAGGGAUUUGUCUGGCCAGGUACCUUCAAGAUAUUGAGCCAACUGUUGUUGGGCUUAAGUGGUGUAACGUACCUGGUAAUGACCUAGGCAAAUUAAGUGAAAUGGUUCCCAUGCCAAUAGAGACAUGUUCCUAACAAGGUCCAACUCUUCUGCCAGUAAGUCAAUCUGUUGUUGUAAAUUGUGGAUGGAUUAAUAAAGAUGUUGAUUUAGUA